GUCCCAAUCUGAAUCAAAUGUUUUGCAAACUCCGAAGCCCCGUUCAAAUGAUUUGCGAAACUGGCUUCAGAGUCUCGAAACUCUCGAUCUGUAUCAAAUGUUUUGUGAACUCGCUCCGAAGCCCCGAUCAAAUGAUUCGCGAAACGCGCUUCGAAGUCCCGAUUUGAAUCAAAUGUUUUGUGCCUUCCAGGUUUGCGUGGAACAGUUGCGGAGACGUUAAAUCACGCGUCAAAACGGGAUGUUUGUGGUGAAAAGACAUGGGAAAAAUAGGACUAACAGGACGUGGAGUGACGAAUAUAAUGGACUGCAGUAGGAGUGAACAAGGAGUGAAAUACUUGAUUCGUUUUCUGACUAAAACAGGACUACUGGCAAGAAUAUGAUGACUAAAGUAUAUGGGAAAUAACUAGAACCAGCAGAUGGCAGUAAUGCAACGUCAAGGAUGCAAGCUGCCGUUAAAACCCAAAGAAGAAGAAGAAGUUGUUUGUGGUGCAGAGCAGUAAAUGACGAGAUGGUGACUUAUAUUAAAACAUUGGCAACUAUAGACAUUAAUCAAAUAUAGUUUGCCUGGAACAGUUGCGGAGACGUUAAAUCACGCUCAAAACGGGAUGUUUGUGGUGAAAAGACAUGGGAAAAAUAGGACUAACAGGACGUGGAGUAACGAGUAUAAUGGACUGCAGUAGGAUUGAACAAGGAGUGAAAUACUUGAUUCGUUUUCUGACUAAAACAGGAAUACUGGCAAGAAUAUGAUGACUAAAGUAUAUGGGAAGUAACUAGAACCAGCAGAUGGCAGUAAUGCAACGUCAAGGAUGCAAGCUGCCGUUAAAACCCAAAGAAGAAGAAGUUUAAGAAGAAGAAGAAGUUUGUGGUGCAAAGCAGUAAAUGACGAGAUGGUGACUUAUAUUUAAACAUUGGCAACUAUAGACAUUAAUCAAAUAUAUAGUAUGUUUUAUUUGUAUUGUUUGAUGUGUCAAAUGUUAUACAUUUAAUGUAGCACAUGGUAGCAGUUAUGCUAACUGUCGAGCAGGUUAGUGAAGCAUUGUUUUAACAAUUUUGCCAUCUCCCUUUUAUAUUGCUCUCUUUCUGGCUUAAGUCACACAAAAUUAACAAAGACAUUUAAACUCUGUUUCAAAAAUUUUUCUCUAAACCUCUUUUCUCUUUAUUAAAACUUUAUCUAGUAGCCUAAAUGAUAGAAUCAAAUGCUUUGCAAAUCCGCUCGAAAGACCUGAUCUGAAUCAAAUGUUAUGCGACUCCGAAGCACCGAUCAAAUGAUUCGCGAAACGCGCUUAGGAGUCCCGAUCUGAAUCAAAUAUGUUUUGCGAACUCGCUCCGAAUCCCAGAUCUCAAGUUAUUUUCCAGUGAAAGCGCUAUAGCUUUCAUUCGCUUCCCGAAAAAUGGCGGAGACCAAAAGUAUUCAGAUGUGUAUAGUGUGUCUUUGUUCUAAUAAUAAAAAAAAAACUAUUUAUAAUUUCAUAUAGUUUUCCCACCGACGAAAAUAAUAAAAAAGCGUUGAAAUUUGGCUAUAUGGUGAGAGGAGGAGGCUACAAUUACUGUGAGGAAAAGUACUUUAGUGUGUGCUAAGGACUUCACGGAGGAUGAGGGGCUGGGUCCACGGUCGACCUCGCACCGUGGGCUGUGCCUUCCAGGUUUGCGUGGAAAAGUUGCGGAGACGUUAAAUCACGCGUCAAAACGGGAUGUUUGUGGUGCAGAGCAGUAAAUGUCGAGAUGGUGCAGGAGCACGAUUACAACAGCGGUCCAGUCCCAGUGCUCUUGCUGAGGCAUGGGAAAAAUAAAGGAGCUGGAAAAAACACCUGCUAGUGACAUCAGCAUCAUCUACAUACCUGCUAGUGGCAUCAGCAUCAUCUACACACAUGCUAGUGGCAUCAGCAUCAUCUACAUACCUGCUAGUGACAUCAGCAUCAUCUACACACAUGCUAGUGACAUCAGCAUCAUCUACACACAUGCUAGUGACAUCAUGCUCCUCCUCACCUUCUAGUGGCAUCAGCAUCAUCUACACACCUGCUAGUGACAUCAGCAUCAUCUACACACCUGCUAGUGACAUCAGCAUCAUCUACACACCUGCUAGUGACAUCGGCAUCAUCUACUCACUUGCUAGUGACGUCAUGCUCCUCCUCACCUGCUAGUGACACCAUGCUUCUCUUCACCUGUUAGUAACUUGUCUGCUUUGUGAUAAGCAAAUUUUGCUAUCUUCCAAUUCUGAACACAUCAGAAAUCACCAACCUCUCCUGACAUAUCUUUCCAGUUUGGGUUUUGCUUGGUCCCCGAUGAACUCAACGUGGGAUGCCUUUCCGAUUUCUUUCACAUCAGGGCACUUAACCUCUACCAGGCCACAGAGAUGUUCUUCAUUUGGGUCCACCACUUUGCCAUCUGCACCAAGGUGUGGAGCAUCAGGGUCGAUGAUGAGACCAGAUGGAAGAACGUUAACGUCAAAGGUCUCCUCAUAGCGGUGAAGAACCUCUGGCUCAAGUUUUAAUCCUCUACACAUCUCUCUCUAGAGACCCCGACAGAUGUUUACACAUACUGUUUAAUGCAAGAUAUAAAUGCAGUUAACCUGCAAUUACAAAUGCAUAAUGUUUUGAUGUCUUAAUCCCAAAAUGUUGAAUACUGAUAUUUGCAUUGAUAAAAGAACGUGCUUUAAGAGGUGAAAUUAAAAACACCAAUAUCUAGACAAUCAUGAAUUUUAACAUCACUUCCUUUAAUGUUUUUACUAUACAGCUGAUAUGGAAUUUGUUUAAAUGUUACAUUUUUGAAAAAAAAAAAAGUUACAUGUUUAUAUGAAAUGCUUAUACAAAAUAAGUCUGUAGUUAACUUUAAAGUAGUUAACUACAGACAUGGUCAUAUAAAAAUUUGCCGAACUUAAGUGGUAGAUUUCUGCCAUUUACUGGAAAACAUUUAAAAUUACAAUUUUAACAAAAGCACUAUAUGAGCAUUCUGAGUGAUUUUAUUACACUAAUAAACAAUCGGACACCCCAAAUUCUGUUUUGGUAAAGUCAUUAAGUGUCAUGUCAUUUAGAUGAAUUAGAAUUUAAUUUAGGGUCCUGAAAGACCCUGAACACUGCACACAGGUUAAGAUGACCAUUGCUACAUAAAUAAAAUA